AUGGCCUUACAGUGCUACACGCCUCUGCUGAAGCCCCAACUGGCCCAAGUCUCGGUUAACCCUUGCAUUAACACGAUACAGAUUCCAGGUUAUGCAACUGCACUUGCAAUGGUAGCAGGAACGACCUUUGCUUGGGCGACCUUCUCUGUUAUGAUAUUGUUGUCUAAGUUAAAGAACCUAAAUCUGCUCCAUGGUUUUGUUAUGUUGGAUGUGCCCCAAGAAACUUCUUUCUUUUGA
rnacentral:rRNA from 1 species